rnacentral:rRNA from 1 species
CCUACGGGUGGCAGCAGUCGAGAAUCAUUCACAAUGGGGGAAACCCUGAUGGUGCGACGCCGCGUGGGGGAAUGAAGGACUUCGGAUUGUAAACCCCUGUCAUGUGGGAGCAAAUUAAAAAGAUAGUACCACAAGAGGAAGAGACGGCUAACUCUGUGCCAGCAGCCGCGGUAAUACAGAGGUCUCAAGCGUUGUUCGGAAUCACUGGGCGUAAAGCGUGCGUAGGCUGUUUCGUAAGUCGUGUGUGAAAGGCGCGGGCUCAACCGGCGGACGGCACAUGAUACUGGGAGACUGGAGUAAGGGAGAGGGAACCGGAAUUCUCGGUGUAGCAGUGAAAUGCGUAGAUAUCGAGAGGAACACUCGUGGCGAAGGCGAGUACCUGGACAUUAACUGACGCUGAGGCACGAAGGCCAGGGGAGCGAAAGGGAUUAGAUACCCUAGUAGUC